UACGUAGGGGGCAAGCGUUGUCCGGAAUCAUUGGGCGUAAAGCGCACGUAGGCGGCUCGUUAAGUCGGAUGUGAAAGCCCUGGGCUCAACCCAGGAAGUGCAUACGAAACUGGCGAGCUUGAGUAUGGAAGAGGGUCGCGGAAUUCCCGGUGUAGAGGUGAAAUUCGUAGAUAUCGGGAGGAACACCAGUGGCGAAGGCGGCGACCUGGGCCAAUACUGACGCUGAGGUGCGAAAGCGUGGGGAGCAAACAGG
rnacentral:rRNA from 1 species